UACGUAGGGUCCGAGCGUUGUCCGGAAUUACUGGGCGUAAAGAGCUCGUAGGUGGUUUGUCGCGUUGUUCGUGAAAACUCACAGCUUAACUGUGGGCGUGCGGGCGAUACGGGCAGACUAGAGUACUGCAGGGGAGACUGGAAUUCCUGGUGUAGCGGUGAAAUGCGCAGAUAUCAGGAGGAACACCAGUGGCGAAGGCGGUGCUCUGGGCCGGAACUGACGCUGAGGAGCGAAAGCGUGGGGAGCAAACAGG
rnacentral:rRNA from 1 species